rnacentral:piRNA from 1 species
GGGGUUUGGGGGACUUGGAAUCGUC